rnacentral:rRNA from 1 species
GAUGAACGCUGACAGAAUGCUUAACACAUGCAAGUCUUUGGCGAAGCUGUGCUUGCACAGCCUAGCCAAGGCGGACGGGUGAGUAACGCGUCAGGAACUUGCCCUGCAGUCAGGGAUAACAGACGGAAACGACUGAUAAGACCUGGUAAAGUCAGGCGGACUCAUGUCCAGCCUGAUGAAAAGAGAUGCUGCAGGGGAGCCUUGCGUCCUAUUAGCUUGUUGGUGGAGUAACGGCCCACCAAGGCGAUGAUAGGUAGCCGGCCUGAGAGGGUGGACGGCCACAAGGGGACUGAGAUACGGCCCUUACUCCUACGGGAGGCAGCAGUGGGGAAUAUUGGACAAUGGGGGCAACCCUGAUCCAGCAAUUCUGUGUGCACGAUGAAGGUUUUCGGAUUGUAAAGUGCUUUCAGCAGGGAAGAAAAAAUGACGGUACCUGCAGAAGAAGCGACGGCUAAAUACGUG